rnacentral:rRNA from 1 species
ACGGGGGGUGCUAGCGUUGUUCGGAAUCAUUGGGCGUAAAGAGCGUGUAGGCGGCUGGAUAAGUCAGAUGUGAAAGCCCUGGGCUUAACAUAGGAAGAGCAUUUGAAACUGUUCAGCUUGAGUAAGGGAGAGGAAAGUGGAAUUCCUGGUGUUGAGGUGACAUUCGUAAUUAUCAGGAGGAACACCGGUGGCGAAGGCGACUUUCUGGCCCUAUACUGACGCUGAGACGCGAGAGCGUGGGUAGCAUACAG